UAAUAGGUUACAGGAGAGACCCUAUCCCUUAGGGGAGGGGCGCCGAAGGGGCAAAUCCUGAUUGGAUCGGGACGAAACUCUCAGGCAAAAGGACUGUAACUUAUUU
rnacentral:ncRNA from 2 species